GAUUAACGCUGGCGGCGUGCAUAACACAUGCAAGUCGAACGAUGAAACUUAGUCGACUUCUUCGGAAAGACACUAAGCGGAUUAGUGGCGAACGGGUGAGUAACGCGUGAGUAACCUGCCUUACACAAGGGGAUAGCCUUUGGAAACGAAGAAUAAUACCCUAUAAAACCAUAAAAGCACAUGCUAGAAUGGUCAAAAUGAUAGCGGUGUAAGAUGGACUUGCGUCUGAUUAGCUAGUUGGUGAGAUAAAAGCUCACCAAGGCAACGAUCAGUAGCCGGCUUGAGAGAGUGUACGGCCACAUUGGGACUGAGACACGGCCCAGACUCCUACGGGAGGCAGCAGUGGGGAAUUUUGCACAAUGGGGGAAACCCUGAUGCAGCGACGCCGCGUGAUUGAGAAGGCCUUCGGGUUGUAAAAAUCUUUUGUAUAGGAAGAAAAUGACAGUACUAUACGAAUAAGGUCCGGCUAAUUACGUG
rnacentral:rRNA from 1 species